CUCCGAUCUCCCGGGCAGAUGCAUGCAAUGAAGCUCCUCUCAGCUCCGAACCCAGAAUGAACAUAGGCUAGAAUCUUAUGCUUUCUCAAGCUCUAGAUGGACAUUUGAGCCGAAUGUUGAUUUCAUUCUAAGUACAUGGUGAUAAAUACU